UCCUAAGGUUAGAAACAGUAUUAGGUUGGUGCAAAAGUAAUUGCGGGUUUUGCCGUUACUUUCAAUGGCAAAAGCUGCAAUUAUUUUUGUAAUAACCUAUAUUUU
rnacentral:miRNA from 10 species